rnacentral:rRNA from 1 species
CACGUAGUUGGCCGCACCUUCUUCUGAAAGUACCGUCAGUUUCGUUCCUUCUGAAAGCGGUUUACAACCCGAGGGCCUUCUUCCCGCACGCGGCGUUGCUGCAUCAGGCUUUCGCCCAUUGUGCAGGAUUCCCCACUGCUGCCUCCCGUAGGAGUCUGGGCCGUGUCUCAGUCCCAGUGUGGCUGAUCAUCCUCUCAGACCAGCUACCCGUCGAUGCCUUGGUAGGCCAUUACCCCACCAACAAGCUGAUAGGCCGCGAGGCUCUCCCGAUCCAGUAACCCUUUCGUCAGUACUCCAUGCGAAGUUCCGACGUCAUCCGGUAUUAGCAGUCGUUUCCAACUUGUUAUCCCAGAGACCGGGACAAGUUCCUCACGUGUUACGCACCCGUUCGCCACUAGAUCUUCAUCAGUAUUGCUACUGAAUGGAUCUCGUUCGACUUGCAUGUGUUAAGCACGCCGCCAGCGUUCGUCCUGAGUCAGGAUACAAACUCU